AUGUCAUGUCACCAAACAAAGAAACUCUGCAGGCUGAAUUUUAUAAAGCUCUCAACCGAAAGUAAUAAAGUUGUAAUCGUGUUAACCGUGUUGCUCUCACUUCAGCCACUGCUACACCACCGAGAGGAGACCCCAACACACACGCACACACACACACACACCACAAACACACACUAUACACACACACACACACUAUACGCACACCACAAACACACACUAUACACACACACACCACAAACACACACUAUACACACACCAACACGAACACACCACCACAAACACCACACGAGACCCACACACCACAGACACACCGAGACACACACACAACACAGACACACAACCACAAACACACACUAUACACACACCACAAACACACACUAUACACACACACACACGAGAGACAACACGAGACACAAACACACACCACAACACGAGACACAAACACCACAAAACACACACAGACACACACACACACACACACACACAACAAAACACACCAUAUACACACACACCACAAACACACUAUACACACACACACCACAAACACACACUAUACACACACACACACACACUAUACACACACCACAAACACACACUAUACACACACCACCACAAACACACACUAUACACACACACACAAACAUACACACACCACAAACACACACAUACACACCACACACACACGGCACACACCACAAACACACACUAUACACACACACACCACAAACACACACUAUACACACACACACCACAAAACACACACUAUACACACACACACACACUAUACGCACACCACAAACACACAUACACACACACACCACAAACACACACUAUACACACACACACACACAUACACACACCACAAACACACACUAUACACACACACACCACAAACAAACACCACACACACACACACACCACAAACAACACACGAGACACACACACACGAGAGACAAACACACACACACUAUACACACACACCACAAACACACACAUACACACACACACACACACACAAACCACAAACACACACGAGACACACACACCAAACAAACACACAUACACACACACACCACAAACACACACUAUACACACACACAAACACACACUACACACACACCACAAACACACACUAUACACACACCACAAACACACACAUACACACACACACUAUAUACACACACACACCACAAACACACACUAUACACACACACCACAAACACACACUAUACACACACACACACCACAAACACACACUAUACACACACACCACAAACACACACUAUACACACACACACACCACAAACACACACUAUACACACACACCAACACACACACAAUACACACAACACACACACACAGAAUCUAAUCUGUUUACUGCCAUUCUCACCUUCCCAGGGAGCCAGACAGCAGCUUACGUUCUGA
ensembl:lncRNA